rnacentral:rRNA from 1 species
UUACACACCGCCCGCCACACCAUGGGAGUGGGUUGCACCAGAAGUAGCUAGUCUAACCUUCGGGAGGACGGUUACCACGGUGUGAUUCAUGACUGGGGUG